rnacentral:lncRNA from 1 species
UGAGAUAAAGACUGUCAUCUAGCGAAGAAGAAUCUGAACUAACUCUCUCUCUCUCUCUCUCUCUCUCUCUCUCUCUCUCUUUCAGAGAGGCGAUGCCGGACACGCUUCAGCAGCUGCGCUGCGCUAAACUCAGACGCAAAUUCUCCGUCAUCACGUCCGUCAAAAGACUAAACAUGGAGAGUUUCACCGAGGAACUCGAUGAUUUCUUAAAGUGUCCGCAGAAACCGAACACGACCGAGCAGGAGCUAAACAGAAUGAAGCUGCAGUUAUGCUGUAACGCCACAGGAUCAAUAUUCCUCACCAAACGCAACACAGCCGUCAAUCAGACCAUCCCGUAUGAGACGAGCACUAAAAGCACAUACACAAUGAAUGCAGCCAUUCACAACAUGCUGCCUGAGGUGCGUGUGUGUGUGUUAAAAUGUAGCUUUUUUGUCUUUGUUUGAAUACUUCUAUUAAGCAAGGAUGUGUUAAAUUGAUAAAAAAGUGACAGUAGAG